rnacentral:tRNA from 2 species
GCCCGGAUGGUGGAAUCGGUAGACACAAGGGAUUUAAAAUCCCUCGGCGUUCGCGCUGUGCGGGUUCAAGCCCCGCUCCGGGUACCA